CGAUAACAAAAACAAACUUGACAAGACCUUUUGUCGGGCGCGCAGUUGAUUUUGCAGUAAAAGCUAAACCUGAGAAAAGGUGUGCGAUCAUGGUUUUUGGCGAAGCUCUCGUGUUGGCGUUCCUGGCCACAACCAUAGCCUUGUUUGGAGUGUCUGUACACAGCAUUUUCACAUCGAAACACAGUUCGCUGGUGGAGUUGCGAAAACUUGAGGAUCAGAUGAUGGAAAAAUAUGGCUGGAAUCCUUCAAUGCCUUACAAUGCAUACAACUAAAGAUGAAAAGCGAAGUGGACAAAUUAAAGUUUCACUGGAUUUUUUAACUAAAUACUGGCCCUCAGUUAGUGUAGAGAAACCGUGGAUCGAGGUUGCAUUGGGAUUCAUAGUUUCCACAAGCAGUUUUUGUACAUUGCGUGUUAACCUAAACAUCGUAGACAGACUGAAUAGCAAAGAUGACCUAGAAAGUUCUCGCCGGGCAUAACUACCAGAUUAACACAAACAUUUUAAAGAAAUGGAAAAAAAAAAAAAAAACUUUUAUGCUUUACUUCGUACAACAAAGUAACGUGAACCAGUUUGAUACAGUUUUCUGAUCCUUAAUAAUAAUAAUUCAGCUUUUAAGGGUAUUUGUCAGUCAAAUGGUAUUUGUAGGUUAAAAGAUUUUAAUCGAAACGAACUUACUGUCAAGAUUAAUUGAGAUCAGUUGAGCUUAGGAUCCGGAAUUGAGUAGAGAGAAUUGAAAUAAAGCAUUUUUCGAGUCGUAUGUGA